rnacentral:rRNA from 1 species
AACACAUGCAAGUCGAGCGGAGACGAAGAGGUGCUUGCACCUCUGGCGUCAAGCGGCGGACGGGUGAGUAAUGCUUGGGAAUAUGCCUUAUGGUGGGGGACAACAGUUGGAAACGACUGCUAAUACCGCAUAAUGUCUACGGACCAAAGUGGGGGACCUUCGGGCCUCACGCCAUAAGAUUAGCCCAAGUGGGAUUAGCUAGUUGGUGAGGUAAUGGCUCACCAAGGCGACGAUCCCUAGCUGGUUUGAGAGGAUGAUCAGCCACACUGGGACUGAGACACGGCCCAGACUCCUACGGGAGGCAGCAGUGGGGAAUAUUGCACAAUGGGCGCAAGCCUGAUGCAGCCAUGCCGCGUGUGUGAAGAAGGCCUUCGGGUUGUAAAGCACUUUCAGUAAGGAGGAAAGGUUAAGUGUUAAUAGCGCUUAGCUGUGACGUUACUUACAGAAGAAGCACCGGCUAACUCCGUGCCAGCAGCCGCGGUAAUACGGAGGGUGCGAGCGUUAAUCGGAAUUACUGGGCGUAAAGCGUACGCA